rnacentral:rRNA from 1 species
UUCGGGAUGCGGAUCCUGGGCUCAGAUUGAAACGCUGGGCGGCAUGCCCUNACACAUGGCAAGUCGAACCGGCAGGCACAGCCAGUAGCAAUACCUGUGGGUGGGCGAGUGGCGGACGGGUGAGUUAUGCAUCCGGGACCUACCUAGACGUGGGGGAUCAACGUAGGGAAACUUACGCUAAUACCGCAUACGUCCCUACGGGAGAAAGUCGGGGGAUCUUCCGGACCUCCGCGCGGUUAGACGGACCGAUGUUCCGAUUAGCUAGUUGGUAGGGUAAUGGCCUACCAAGGCGACGAUCCGAUAGCUGGUCCUGAGAGGAUGAUCAGCCACACUGGAACUGAGACACGGUCCCAGACUCCCUACGGGAGGCAGCAGUGGGGAAUAUUGGACAAUGGGCGUCAAGCCUGAUCCAGCAAUGCCGCGUGUGUGAAGAAGGCCUUCCGGGUUGUAAAGCACUUUUAUCCAGGAGCGAAAUACUACUGG